rnacentral:tRNA from 1 species
GUCCACAUAGCUUAGCCCCAAA